rnacentral:rRNA from 1 species
CUGACAUGCGUGCGAGUCGACGGGUUCUGAAACCUGGGAUGCGCAAGGAAGCUGACGAGCGGGAGGCCCUCACGGGCCGCACCACUGGCCGACCCUGAUCUUCUGUGAAGGGUUCGAGUUGGAGCACACCUGUCGGGACCCGAAAGAUGGUGAACUAUGCCUGAGCGGGGCGAAGCCAGAGGAAACUCUGGUGGAGGCUCGAAGCGAUACUGACGUGCAAAUCGUUCGUCUGACUUGGGUAUAGGGGCGAAAGACUAAUCGAACCAUCUAGUAGCUGG